AACGAACGCUGGCGGCAGGCCUAACACAUGCAAGUCGAGCGGGCGUAGCAAUACGUCAGCGGCGCACGGGUGAGUAACGCGUGGGAACCUGCCCUUUGGUUCGGAACAACCCCUGGGAAACGUAGGGCUGAUACCGGAUACGCCCCUGAUCUCGCGAGAGGUUGGGGGGAAAGAUUUAGUCGCCGAAAGGAGGGGCCCGCGUCCGAUUAGCUAGUUGGUGGGGUAAUGGCCUACCAAGGCUGCGAUCGGUAGCCGGUCUGAGAGGACGAUCGGCCACACUGGGACUGAGACACGGCCCAGACUCCUACGGGAGGCAGCAGUGGGGAAUA
rnacentral:rRNA from 1 species